rnacentral:sRNA from 1 species
AGUUGUAUUCAAGUUUAAA